AUUGAACGCUGGCGGCAUGCCUUACACAUGCAAGUCGAACGGUAACAGGUCUUCGGAUGCUGACGAGUGGCGCACGGGUGAGUAAUACAUCGGAACGUGCCCGAUCGUGGGGGAUAACGAGGCGAAAGCUUUGCUAAUACCGCAUACGAUCUACGGAUGAAAGCGGGGGAUCUUCGGACCUCGCGCGGCCGGAGCGGCCGAUGGCAGAUUAGGUAGUUGGUGGGAUAAAAGCUUACCAAGCCGACGAUCUGUAGCUGGUCUGAGAGGAUGAUCAGCCACACUGGGACUGAGACACGGCCCAGACUCCUACGGGAGGCAGCAGUGGGGAAUUUUGGACAAAGGGCGAAAGCCUGAUCCAGCCAUGCCGCGUGCAGGAUGAAGGCCUUUGGGUUGUAAACUGCUUUUGUACGGAACGAAAAGCCUCUUUCUAAUAAAGAGGGGUCAUGACGGUACCGUAAGAAUAAGCACCGGCUAACUACGUG
rnacentral:rRNA from 1 species